AUGGAGUCGUUGGCCAACGCAGGAGCAGCAUCCACCGAGCGCCUGCCACCGCACGUCGUGCUGCUCGCCAGCCCGGGAGCCGGCCACCUCAUCCCGCUGGCGGAGCUGGCGCGGCGGCUCGUCGACCACCAGGGCUUCGCGGCCACGCUCGUCACCUUCACCGACCUGUCCUCCCCGGAGGCCCUCUCCGGCGUCCCCGCCUGCGUCGCCACAGCCGCGCUCCCGCCCGUCCCGCUCGACGACCUCCCCGCGGGCACUAGUAUGAGUACCGUGCUUCUCGAGCUCAUCCGUCGCUCCCUACCGAGCCUCCGCGCCCUCCUCCGCUCCGUCGGUGCGCCCCUCGCCGCGCUGGUGCCGGACUUCUUCUGCUCCGCGGCUCUGCCGCUCGCCGCCGAGCUCGGCGUCCCGGGCUACGUCUUCAUGCCCAGCAACCUCACCGCCCUCGUCGUCAUGCGCGCCGCGGUGGAGCUCCACGACGGCGUUCCACCCGGCGAGUACCGCGACCUCCCCGACCCUCUGGAGCUCCCCGGGGGCGUGUCCCUGUGCCACGCCGACCUGCCUCCCUCGUUCCAGAGCAGCGGCGAGCCGGUCUACGCGCACCUACUGGAGGAGGGCCGGCGCUACCGCCGCGCUGACGGCUUCCUGGUGAACACCUUCUACGAGGUGGAGCCCGCCACCGUGGAAGAGUUCAAGCUGGCGGCGAAGCGAGGCGCGUUCCCGCCCGUGUUCCCAGUUGGGCCGUUCGUCCGGCCGGGCACAAGCUCCGACGAAGCCGCCGGCGCGUCCGCGUGCCUAGACUGGCUCGAUCUCCAGCCGACCGGAUCCGUAGUGUACGUCUCCUUCGGGAGCGGCGGGUCGCUGACCGUGGAGCAGACGGCCGAGCUCGCCGCUGGGCUGGAAGCGAGCGGCCACCGGUUCCUCUGGGUCGUGAGGAUGCCAAAUCUGGACGGUGGCAACGACGGCCGUGACCGUGACGACGACAACCCAAACCCGUUGGCCUGGCUUCCGGAUGGCUUCCUGGAGAGGACGGCGGACAAGGGGCUGGCCGUGGCGGCGUGGGCGCCUCAGGUGCGCGUACUGUCCCACCCGGCGACGGCGGUAUUCGUGUCGCACUGCGGCUGGAACUCCACGCUGGAGAGCGUGUCGGCAGGCGUGCCGAUGGUGGCGUGGCCGCUGUACGCGGAGCAGCGGAUGAACGCCGUGGCCCUGGUAGGGAGCGUCGGGGUGGCGCUGCCGCUGCGUCCGCGGGAGGCCGACGGCGUGGUGGCGCGCGACGAGAUCGCGGGCGCGGUGAAGGAGCUGAUGGAGAGCGCGGAGAAGGGGCGCGCCGUACGGCGGCAGGCCGGGGACCUGCAGCAGGCGGCGGCGCGCGCGUGGUCGCCGGAAGGGUCGUCCCGCCGGGCGCUGGAGGAAGUCGCCGCCACGUGGAAGAAGGCGACGCUCGGCAAGGUGAAGUAA
rnacentral:rRNA from 1 species